AGCGAGAUAGUUUAUUUAAAAUGUUUGCUUUACACGCAUAAGAAGGUUUAAUCCUAUCGUUA
rnacentral:tRNA from 1 species